rnacentral:rRNA from 1 species
UACGAAGGGGGCUAGCGUUGUUCGGAAUUACUGGGCGUAAAGCGCGCGCAGGCGGUUCUUCAAGUCAGAGGUGAAAGCCCAGAGCUCAACUCUGGAAUGGCCUUUGAGACUAGAGAACUUGGGUACGGGAGAGGUGAGUGGAAUUCCGAGUGUAGAGGUGAAAUUCGUAGAUAUUCGCAAGAACACCAGUGGCGAAGGCGGCUCACUGGCUCGAUACUGACGCUGAGGUGCGAAAGCGUGGGGAGCAAACAGG